UACGUAGGGUGCAAGCGUUUGUCCGGAAUUAUUGGGCGUAAAGGGCUCGUAGGCGGUCCAUCGCGUCGGGAGUGAAAAGCUGGGGCUCAACCCCAGUCCUGCUUCCGAUACGGGUGGACUAGAGGUAGGCAGGGGAGAACGGAAUUCCUGGUGUAGCGGUGAAAUGCGCAGAUAUCAGGAGGAACACCGGUGGCGAAGGCGGUCUGCUGGGGUGAGGCUGACGCUGAGGCGCGACAGCGUGGGGAGCAAACAGG
rnacentral:rRNA from 1 species